GACGAACGCUGGCGGCGUGCUUAACACAUGCAAGUCGAACGAAGUGGCGAACGGGUGAGUAACGCGUAAUCAACCUGCCCUUCAGCGGGGGACAACAGUGGGAAACGACUGCUAAUACCGCAUACUGAAGGAGGGGAUUGCGUCGGAUUAGCUAGUUGGGGGGGUAACGGCCCACCAAGGCGAUGAUCAGUAGCCGGGCUGGGAGGGUGGACGGCCACAUUGGGACUGGGACACGGCCCAGACUCCUACGGGGGGCAGCAGUGGGGAAUCUUCCGCAAUGGAGGAAAGUCUGACGGAGGAACGCCGCGUGAGUGAUGACGGCCCUCGGGUUGGAAAGCUCUGUUAAUCGGGACGCGGUACCGGAAUAGAAAGCCACGGCUAACUACGUGCCAGCAGCCGCGGUAAUAC
rnacentral:rRNA from 1 species